rnacentral:lncRNA from 13 species
AUGCCAGAAAGUCUAGAAAAUUAUGAAUCAAACACAAAAAAUUUCUAUUUCUAUUUAAGAAGUCAAGAGUCCAAGGUGAUGUGUUCUCAUCAUGUAUCCAGUGUCCCAGAUUUCCACUCCACCAUUAGAGUAGGACCUCAUCUUGUGCUCUCAGAGGCCUGCCAGAGCUCCCUGGAGAGUCUCCAAGCAGCAAAGAAGGAGAAGAGCAAAGGACAAAGCAGAUCCUCCCCUGGCAUGAUUAGAGAGCUGGCGGCUACGUCUUGCACAUAUCACAUAACGAACUAGUUGGAGCAUUCCCCAAAAUGGUGUUUGGUUUGAGAAGCAUGAGCCAUUCGCCUGCACUUUACAGGCCCUGUGACAGAGAUCCUAAAGGUGAUGAAGAUGUAUUGGCUUGAGUACUGGGCCAUAGAAAGUUUCCUCUGAACAACAGAGAAGCCCAGGUACUUUUCUGGAAGACCACAUUGCAAGGAAUCAGUCUUGGACAAAUUGACACUUCUCAGUUCGCACACGUCAUUCUCAAGUGUGGCCAAUAAGCAUCUGUUAUGAUUAGGUUUUGUGUCCCUACCCAAAUGUCAUCUUGAAUUGUAAUCCCCACUUGUGAAGAGAAGAAAGAGACCGGGGGAGGUAAUCCAAUCAUGGGGUUGGUUUACCUUAUUCUAUUCCCGUGAGAGUGAGUGAGUUCUCAUGAGAUUUUAUGGUUUUAUAAGGGGCUCUUCCCCCUCCACUCAGCACUUUUCUUUCCUGCUGCUGGUUGAAGAAGGUGCCUUGCUUCCCCUUCACUUUCCACCGUGAUUGUAAGUUUCCUGAGACCUCCCCAGCCAUGAUGAACUGAGCGUCCAUUAAACCUCUUUCCUUUAUGAAUUACCCAGUCUUGGGCAGUUCUUUAUAGCACUAUACAAACAGACUAACACAGCAUCAUGCAGUAUACCUUCAAUAAACGGUACCUUUUCCACCCA